UACGAAGGGGGCUAGCGUUGCUCGGAAUCACUGGGCGUAAAGGGUGCGUAGGCGGGUCUUUAAGUCCGGGGUGAAAUCCUGGAGCUCAACUCCAGAACUGCCUUUGAUACUGAAGAUCUUGAGUUCGGGAGAGGUGAGUGGAACUGCGAGUGUAGAGGUGAAAUUCGUAGAUAUCUGGAGGAACACCGGUGGCGAAGGCGGCAUCCUGGACCAACACUGACACUGAGGAGCGAAAGCCAGGGGAGCAAACGGG
rnacentral:rRNA from 1 species